GACGAACGCUGGCGGCGUGCUUAACACAUGCAAGUCGAACGGAAAGGCCCUGCUUUUGUGGGGUGCUCGAGUGGCGAACGGGUGAGUAACACGUGAGUAACCCGCCCUUGACUUUGGGAUAACUUCAGGAAACUGGGGCUAAUACCGGAUAGGAGCUCCUGCUGCAUGGUGGGGGUUGGAAAGUUUCGGCGGUUGGGGAUGGACUCGCGGCUUAUCAGCUGGUUGGUGGGGUAGUGGCUUACCAAGGCUUUGACGGGUAGCCGGCCUGGGAGGGGGACCGGCCUCAUUGGGACUGAGAUACGGCCCAGACUCCAACGGGAGGCAGCGGUGGGGAAUAUUGCACAAUGGGCGGAAGCCUGAUGCAGCAACGCCGCGUGCGGGAUGACGGCCUUCGGGUUGUAAACCGCUUUCGCCUGUGACGAAGCGUGAGUGACGGUAAUGGGUAAAGAAGCACCGGCUAACUACGUG
rnacentral:rRNA from 1 species